rnacentral:lncRNA from 1 species
ACAAGAGUUACCACAGAUGCCAAGCGACCAAUCAAAGGAGAGAAAGAAAAACGUUCACGCUACGCUACCAAUAUUUUGAAUGGUUAUUUGGAGUAAAACAUAGGACAAACAAUCUGAAAGAACGCUCUGAUGUUUAUAUGCAGUUAACGUUAUUUAUGGAAACAGCAGGUUGAAGAGUCUAUUUUACACAAACACCCUGUUGGCGUAUCUAAAGGCUUUUGCAUCGUUACAGAAAACUUUAUCGUUAACUUGCCUGGAUUCUCAGCUGACGACCAACGAACGCGUUCAAGAUGGCGGCGAGGUUUUCACGAGGACAGACGAAACACUGGAACGGAUUACUACAGGAUUCUCAUCAGAACGGCGUUACAUCUGCCCUCUACCUCCAUUACUUCCAUAGAGCAUUGUACUUUCCUCUCCGACUGAAGGACAUUACAGGAGUAAAGGUUGCCAGGAAAAAUAAAGCUGUCGGCUGAAUUUGGAAUGUUGGAAAAUGAAUCGACUGCCAGCAAACAAAGAGAUGUAGUCAACCGUUUGCAUUGAGUGCUGCGAUUGGUUGGAGGGACAACCUUGUAGCAGAGCACCUAAACAACCAGCACACUCCAGUAGGACCUUGAUUAGUUCACAAGUGCCAGUUGUGUAUUAAACCUGCAGUGCUUGCCUGCUGUGUCUGAUAACAUGACUAAACGGGAAUGUCAAUUGUAGAGAACAUAUUUAAUUUGAACACAUAGGAACACAAAAAUAUUGUAGCAAAUGACUAAUGGAUGCCUGUACACAUUUUCAGUAGUGUUUAUUUGUUACUUGAUUACAUUUGUUUUAGUCCUGACUUGCUAUGCAUUAACAACAGCUAUGUUUACAUACAGUAUAAUUAGAUUGAUGGUUCAGAUUUAAAAGCAUUCAUGUAAACAUCUUCAUUGAUCAGAUUGAACUUAAUCCGAAUGAAAUUUCAAUUGUAUUGAAAGCUAUUGGACUUGUUUUCUUUUUCUGAGCUGUUUCAGCAGUUAAAAAAGACCUUAAUCACUUUCUCAAUCAUAUUCAGAAGUAACCAGGACACAUGCAAAGUGCAAUGUAAUUUAGACAGGCAUUAACCUGAGCAUAUUUCGAUAAGUGCAUGAUAAAUCAUGUAAAAUCAUUGGCUGCAUAUUUUUAUUAGACUUCUUAAUGAUUUUUAAAAAUUAUUUAUUUCAAAAAACGAGCCAUAAACUAAAUAAUUACACAUUAGCCAUAUAGAUAAUUUAUUUAGAAUAAAAAAAUGCAGUAGAAGUAAAAUAUUAGAAUUAACACACAGCAGACACUGGAAAAAAAUACCAUUUUAUUCAAAUGUAUUUCUAUUUUCAGACACUAUAAACUACAAUAAAACAUACAAAAACAUUUGUAUAUACUUAUUU